rnacentral:lncRNA from 1 species
UAAUAUUCAUUGAACAAAUGGACGAUGUUUGUAUAUGUUUUCUUAUUGUUCAUAUGUUUAUCUCGUGUGGAAUUAAAAUGAUUUUUUCACUUAUUACGUCAUUUUUUUACACUAUAGUAUAAAUAUAUAUUUAAAAAUUGGAUUGUAAGUUACAACUGAUUCAUGAUAUGAUUAUUAAAGUACAAACUAAUCAUCUUUUUCGUGAAAAAAAUGUCUCAACUGAUUCAUGUUUUGAUAUUCCUUAUUGUUUAGAUUUGCUUAAAUUAUUGUUGCCAUGUUUUUAGUUAAAAAUCAAUUUAGGAAAAUGCAUUUAUAAAACAGGAAAGACAAAGAAUAGUUAUUGUUAGGUUUAUUAAAUACUGCAGUGGCAUUCUAUUGUAAAUAUUGUGCAAGUCUAAGGGUUAGUUUAAU